AAAAAUUUUGGUUUCCAUUAAUUUGGAAUGAAAAGGGAAUUGGGCGAAAAUCCCAAACUGUCCCCGCAACUGUAAAUCGCAUAUAAUAUUUCUACGAUAAACCACUGUGAAAACGGGAAGGUGUAGAAAGCGAAAGUCAGGAGACCUGCCAAAAUGU
rnacentral:ncRNA from 1 species